UACGGAGGAUCCGAGCGUUAUCCGGAAUUAUUGGGUUUAAAGGGUGCGUAGGCGGCCAGAUAAGUCAGGGGUGAAAGUCGGCAGCUCAACUGUCGCAGUGCCUUUGAUACUGUUUGGCUUGAAUUCGGUUGAAGAUGGCGGAAUGAGACAAGUAGCGGUGAAAUGCAUAGAUAUGUCUCAGAACACCGAUUGCGAAGGCAGCUAUCUAAUCCGUUAUUGACGCUGAUGCACGAAAGCGUGGGGAGCAAACAGG
rnacentral:rRNA from 1 species